GACGAACGCUGGCGGCGUGCCUAAUACAUGCAAGUCGAGCGCAGGAAAUCGACGGAACCCUUCGGGGGGAAGUCGACGGAAUGAGCGGCGGACGGGUGAGUAACACGUAAAGAACCUGCCCUCAGGUCUGGGAUAACCACGAGAAAUCGGGGCUAAUACCGGAUGGGUCAUCGGACCGCAUGGUCCGAGGAUGAAAGGCGCUUCGGCGUCGCCUGGGGAUGGCUUUGCGGUACAUUAGCUAGUUGGUGGGGUAAUGGCCCACCAAGGCGACGGUGCAUAGCCGACCUGAGAGGGUGAUCGGCCACACUGGGACUGAGACACGGCCCAGACUCCUACGGGAGGCAGCAGUAGGGAAUCUUCCACAAUGGACGAAAGUCUGAUGGAGCAACGCCGCGUGAACGAUGAAGGCCUUCGGGUCGUAAAGUUCUGUUGUAAGGGAAGAACAAGUGCCGCAGGCAAUGGCGGCACCUUGACGGUACCUUGCGAGAAAGCCACGGCUAACUACGUGCCAGCAGCCGCCGCCG
rnacentral:rRNA from 1 species